UACGUAGGGGGCAAGCGUUGUCCGGAAUCAUUGGGCGUAAAGAGCGUGUAGGCGGCCUGAUAAGUCGGCUGUGAAAGUCAAGGGCUCAACCCCUGAAUGCCGGCCGAUACUGUCAGGCUAGAAUCCGGAAGAGGCGAGUGGAAUUCCUGGUGUAGCGGUGAAAUGCGCAGAUAUCAGGAGGAACACCUAUGGCGAAGGCAGCUCGCUGGGACGGUAUUGACGCUGAGACGCGAAAGCGUGGGGAGCGAACAGG
rnacentral:rRNA from 1 species